GGGAGCUAGUUAUGUUUCUUUGAAUUGUUUAUAUGCUCUGUAUGUAUGGUGAAUUUUAUUUUGGUGUGCUGUUUUGGAAUUGCAUGUUAAGUUUUAUGAAUAUUGGGGGAUAUGUGAUGAGUUAUGAAACUGAUAAAAAGUGAGUAUACUUAAUUUAUGAUGGCUUGUCUGUGUAGUGAUUUUAUUGAAUUUAAUGGUUGUAGAUUGAACUGUUAUGAGUUGUUUGGGAGUGGAAAAUUAUGUGUUAGCACUAUUUAGAAAGAGGAAUCAAUUUUUGAGGUAGUGUUUUAUGGGGAACUUAAUAUGUUGAUAUUAAGUAGGAAAUAUUAAUGGAUUUUGUGUGUGUUCGUUAUAAAUAUAAUAUAAUGUGUGAAGGGAAGAGGUUUAUGUCAAGGAUGAAGGCAUGGUAUUCAUGGGUUGGUUAAAAUUUUAUAUUGAAUGUAUAUCAGGGGAGAGGCUUUCACGUAUGAUGUGUAUAUGCAUAAAUAUUAUAUAAUAAAUAGUGGAAGAGCAGUGAUUGUUUUUGUUGCAGAGAGGGAGGAGCAUUUUGCUUUUAUUAGAUUUUGGAAAAUGGAUGGGUAGGAAGAUAGGAUAUGUCCCACUUUACCAAAAGAAUAAAUAAAUAAAAUAAAAACU
rnacentral:lncRNA from 1 species